UACGAAGGGGGCUAGCGUUGUUCGGAAUCACUGGGCGUAAAGCGCACGUAGGCGGAUUUUUAAGUCAGGGGUGAAAUCCCGAGGCUCAACCUCGGAACUGCCUUUGAUACUGGAGAUCUUGAGUCCGGAAGAGGUAAGUGGAACUGCGAGUGUAGAGGUGAAAUUCGUAGAUAUUCGCAAGAACACCAGUGGCGAAGGCGGCUUACUGGUCCGGAACUGACGCUGAGGUGCGAAAAGCGUGGGGAGCAAACAGG
rnacentral:rRNA from 1 species